rnacentral:rRNA from 1 species
CAAUAGCGUAUAUUAAAGUUGUUGCGGUUAAAAAGCUCGUAGUUGGAUUUCUGCUGAGAACGACCGGUCCGCCCUUUGGGUGUGUAUCUGGCUCUUUCUUGGCAUCUUCUUGGUGAACGUUGCUGCACUUGACUGUGUGGAGCGCUACCCAGGACUUUUACUUUGAGGAAAUUAGAGUGUUUCAAGCAGGCAUACGCCUUGAAUACAUUAGCAUGGAAUAAUAAGAUAGGACCUCGGUUCUAUUUUGUUGGUUUCUAGAGCUGAGGUAAUGAUUAAUAGGGAUAGUUGGGGGCAUUCGUAUUUAACUGUCAGAGGUGAAAUUCUUGGGUUUGUUAAAGACGGACUACUGCGAANGNAUUUGCNAAGGAUGUUUNCAUUG